UCCCAGGCUUCCCGGCGGCAGGGGUCGGGGCAGGUAUGGGUGCAGCCCGCCGCCGGGUCCCGGCCGCCGCGGUCCAGUCGGCAGGGGGGCGCCAGAGGAGCGCCUGGGUCCCCGACUCGGAAGGGCACGCGCACCUUUGGAGAGCCGGGUGGAGGAGCGCCAGUGGGCCCAGUUUGUCAUCUUUUCUGCUGAUCAUUUAGUGCUUACACUCAGGUGGGAAUAAAUGAUGAGGAACGGAAGUGCAGUGCCUGAUGCAAAUGUCUUGAGAGGAACUACAGAAAACAUGAUCGGGGACCCUGUUCCUCCAUACAGCCCAG